CCCAGCUGUGUUUUACUUGAUAGCAGUGAUGCUGCGAACCACAACAAUGAGAAUAAUGGUGUCACUUCAAAGAAAAUGGCAAAGACAAGUACCUCUCUGUUAGAGAUGUCUUGCAUUGCUGGAGCACAUGAGCGUAAUGGUGAACAAGGUGGAAAGUCCCAAGAUGAGCUCUGUUUUCCAUCUUCAAGAUUCAACAUGCUGUAGCUUAUCCUUUAUUUAAG
rnacentral:lncRNA from 1 species